UCAUAUUGGAAGUCUACUGUGUUUUGUUUGUAAACAAAACACAAUACGCUAGUGCCGAAGCUGGCUCGUGAUCAGUCUGUCUCUUUCACGCUACAAGCAAAUAAUUCCCCUUCUGCUUUCCUCCCUUCUGUUUUCAUAUUCCGCUCCCCUAACCAACUUAGUGACGAAACGGCCUCACCUAGUACCAUAGACCCGUCUUGUACAGUACGAAUUCAACGGAAAAUUGGUGAUUCGAACCUUGGGAAUGAUUGAAGUAGAGGCAAACUGCUGUGUUUUUGCGUGAUAAUGUACUGGAAACACUACGUGUCGACUAUUUGAAGUCGGAGCAAGUCUUUAGCAUUACGGUGGACAAUAUGAUUGCGACCGUAAAAAAAAAUAAAUCGUUGCUGAAGGAAUCCAUUGCAGUAUCGACUCUAUUAUUCGAAGAUGAUGAGAAAAAAAUCACAGAAAAGAGACCUCAUUGAAGAUUUUGAGCUAGAGUGGGACACACUUUUAUCCCUCGUUCGGUGCGCGGUUUAUUCCCUCCAACUUGUCAUUGAGGAUGUUUUUGAAAAAGCUGAUCCGAAUCUUAAAUACAUCACGGAAGUAGUACGCCAUCUACGUCAAUUUAAGUAUAAUUCAUUCGUCGAGGUUCAACAACUUGUCCUCCCUCUGCUUUGGACACCAACACGCUGGUGUGGUAAUUACAAAAUGUUGUCUAGCAUUUUUAAGCAAGAAGCGACAUUUGUUGAACUGGAAGCUCGGUGUUCUAAAAUGUGUUUAGGCAAGGAUGAUUGGAAAUAUAUACGAUAUUACGUUAAUGCUACCAGGCUGUUCUAUCACUGUACAAAGCAUAUGCAGGCCGAUCAUUAUCCCUAGUCACAAUUCUACAUCGACUAGUUGGUUGCCAUUCAGAGGUCAGUAUGCAAUCCUUUCUAUAAUGCCCUCGUAUCAUCAUGUACAAAUCAAUUGGAACGUCUUCGGAAAGGAACACACGAAUGCAUUUGACUUUAACGACAAAGUCUCCGAAAAUUCUUUAACUUUCUAUAAUCAAAUAAGAGUUUUGGAUACACAGGAACGUCAGCCCCACAUCCUUCAAUGUGUGGAAAUAAUAGGUAGCUCGUAAAAAUACACACCCGGAACUACACACCGUAGCUAUGGUUGUUUUGGCUACACCAUCCAGUCAGGUAUCGGUUGAAAGAGCGUUCAGUACAUUGGCGAUAAUCCUUUCUGAUUAGAGAACUGGUUUAGGAGCGGAAACCCUUUUCAAUAUUCUUCUAGUCAAAUAGAACAUCGAUCUUUCAGAUACGGUACAGACCUUUACAUCUGGAACGAUACAAUCACAGAGAUGAAUUCAAACAACUUGAUUGCAAGACAGGUUUUAUAUUAGUAGAUAUAUGAUUCGGUUAUUAUAUGAGAACUGUUGUUUGUUGAAUUUAGCUUGAAGCAACAUUUUAAUAAAAGACGAACUUAAUCUUGUUAAUAAAAAUAUA